GCUGACCUGGAUUUAGUGGUCUCUGGGCUUCAAAAGGGUGCAACCAGGGCAAAGCAAAGGAAGAGGUGGGACUAUGUGAAGAAAGAAUGUAGGGUCUGACAUUUGAGGAAGGAGCUUCAUACUCUGAAUCCAAGGGCAAGAAUGAAGAUCUAACCAGAGUGCAGGAAAUAGGGAGGCGUGGAGCUAUGGAAGAGAGAGAACAGGGAGGUGACCCAAGAUGAACCCCUGAAUUCAUCUCUGAAUUCAUCUCUGUCAUCUGGAUUUCCAUUUUCACAGAGAAAUCUUGGCGCCCUGAGUUGACAUCUUUGCUGGAGACUGACAGCUGGAAUGAGAUGUUCAAGUGAAGAAGAUGAAGAGAAACACGUCUCUUUAAGGAAAGACAUCAGGAACUUCUCUGGAAUGCUAUAUGAGGACUGAAAGCUGUCUCUGAGUUACAGGGGAAGGACUCAACUUUAAUUCAACUUCUGUUGGAACACCCUUAAUGGAUUAUUGAUAAACUUGGAAGCUGUUCUUUUUCAAUUUAUAGCAAUGAACAAUCAUCAGGAAAUACUAUCAUGGCUGUGGGAAGGAGGAAACCCCUUGACAAAAUGAAAAAUGAGCUCCCUUGCAUCAGUAUUGGAAUUCUAUAUUUCUUUCUCUUUCAUGUACCUGGUGGUGGCAAGAAAGACAAAAAAAUGAAAUAAGUAGAUGACUGGUUUCAUCAACUUGAGACAUAGAGUUGACAUUUAUCAAAAGCUUUCUGGCUUCCAACAUGAAAAUUUCUAGAUAAUGUUCAGCCUAGAAAGUGGAAGAUUAAACUUCAAUGUUUCCUGUGAAAAUAAACCUUCAUUAAAAAAAUAAUUACCAAACACCUACUGUGCCAGGCUCUGCAGUAAGCAUCAGAGACACAGCACCCAGCAGAGAAGGAGCCCUAUGAGGUCUCUGUCAUCCUGGAACUUAGUCCUGACCUCCAACAUAAAGCCAGUCCUUUCAUUUAAAGAUGGAAUUGGUUGGAACACAAAGGAAACACCAGUACAAUUCAUAACUACGGAAACCUCCACAGAGCAAUGGAACACAGCUACAUUCCUGCACCUGGAAUGUCUGGUUUCAUGAGCAUCCAGAAGGAAGCGGGUGUGAAACUGAUCACCAACAUGUACAUUCUAAUUAAAUUCAGUCACAUUGCUAAAGCUGAGGACUCACAGAAUGGUUAUAAUGUACUUAUUUAAAAAAUAAAAUUUUAUUCUAAAAUAAUUCAAAUGAGAAGGAAACCAGGCAUAUGACUGUAAGUUAGUACUUAGCAAUCUAAUGAGUGAAGAGUUCUUAAAUAUAACAAUAGUCAAAACAGAAACAAUGAAAAACUUAGACUUUUUUGUUCAUAUUUGUCAAUUAAAACUGAUCAUAAACCAUUUUAAUCUUCUAACCAGUGUCUGUUAUAAUUUUGUCCAUUUUUUCAAUGGCAAAGAUUCCUAUUUAGAGUUCCUUCUUAUUCAAGGGGAUUGCUAGCUUUGUUUUCAAACUGAAAAUAACUUUAUUGUUUUGUGAUUAUAAAAAUGGGUAAAAGUAACAAAUGUUCAUAUAGUGUUUUAGCAAUACAUAAGUUCUGCAAUACUUAAAAGUGUGAAGAACAUGAAAUACAAGUAUAGCCAUCACUCAGUAUCCAUGGGGAAUUGGUUCCAGAAUCUUCCUUGGAUACCAAAAUUUGUAGAUGCUCAAGUCCCUCAUAUAACAUGGUGUAGUAUUUGCAUAUGACUUCCUGUAUACUUUAAAUCGGCUCUAGAUUACAUAUAAUACC
rnacentral:lncRNA from 1 species